rnacentral:rRNA from 1 species
UGGCGGCAUGCCUAACACAUGCAAGUCGAACGGUAACAGGCUCUUCGGAGUGCUGACGAGUGGCGGACGGGUGAGUAAUGCGUAGGAAUCUGCCCAGAAUGGGGGACAACUUGGGGAAACUCAAGCUAAUACCGCAUAUUCCUUAAGAGGGAAAGCAGGGGACCUUCGGGCCUUGCGCUUCUGGAUGAGCCUACGUCAGAUUAGCUUGUUGGUGGGUAAAGGCCUACCAAGGCUACGAUCUGUAGCUGGUCUGAGAGGAUGAUCAGCCACACUGGGACUGAGACACGGCCCAGACUCCUACGGGAGGCAGCAGUGGGGAAUAUUGGACAAUGGGCGAAAGCCUGAUCCAGCAAUGCCGCGUGUGUGAAGAAGGCCUGAGGGUUGUAAAGCACUUUCAGCUAGGAGGAAAGGACAAGUGCUAAUAUCAUUUGUCUGUGACGUUACUGGCAGAAGAAGCACCGGCUAACUCUGUG